GGGGGUAUUCUGGAUUUGACUUGCAGUAAUCAAGAUUGGUGUAAGCAUGUCGUGAAAUGAUACUAUCACGUAAAUCUGUGUAUUACAACUCUUAAAUGGCAACAUUUUAGAAAACGCUACCGUAGGUCACUUUGCGACUGAAGGUGCAGCUGUAGUAGCCUAAUUAGAUUAGGACUAACUACCCAUCACAACUAAGACUCCGAUAUUAGAGUUUGUGAUGUCAACCCAUCGGAAACAGACUUAGUAUGGUAUAGUAGCCAAGUCGAACUACUAUCAAUGUCGUUGAGCGUUGUUAUAAAACUCAAAUAUUUUUGGUAAGUUAGAAAACUUAAUCCUAAACAUGUAGAAGACCGUUGAGAUGCGGUAAGGACAUGGGUUCGACUCCCAUUACCUCCACUG
rnacentral:tmRNA from 1 species